GAGGUAGAAAGGCUUGAGAUAAUAAAGAGAUAACAGCUUUGCAUUAGGCUACCUAUGAGAAAAGAAUCAGAAGAUAGGAGAAUGCAAACCCUGGAACUGAAGGGCUGAUAGAUUCUGUUUAAACUAAAACCCCUGCAGCCCUAGAAUUUUCUGUAGUGACACCAGUUCAGGUGUCUGUGUGCAGUGGUGAAUUACCAAGCUGGGAAAAGAAGAUUGUCCUCUGCAUCUAAAUCCCAUGCAGGCUUGUUUACCAAUGCCACUGAUGACAAACUUCGGAUGCUCCCAGGAAGACUAACUUCCAUGUGUCCUAAGGAAUUCCAGGAAUGCUAUGUGCUGCAGAAAAAAUGAAAUUGAGAAAACUUUAAAGCACAAAAUUCAAAAGUGGAAGCAAUGGGCCUAGAGACAUCAGUAACAACUGCUAUUGAAGGUGUGGUGCAGGAUCCAUACAGAAGAACACUCCUGAAAGGUGAGGGGCAGCAAGAACUUCCAGACCUGGCCUGCAGUCAAAUGGGAGAGGAAACUUCCCCUCAAAUGGAGUAGAGGAAAAGCUGCAAAGUAAUUUUCUCCAAGACAGCUAGCCGUUCCUCCACAGAUUCUGUAGUCUGGCAUCUUUGCUGGUCUAUUCCUUUACUUGUCUGCAGUCUUCUCACUUUUUCCUGAACAAAACACAGGCCAGAAAUGAUGUGCCCUAUUCUUCCAUGUCACCUCAAAAGAGAAAGGGGGCUGCAACUUCAAAAUGAGUCCUGUGCCUUUAUAGGGAAGUUGUGAAAGGACAUAGUCCAGUUUAUACAGUCGUAUCUGGAGAUAAGGAACCUGGUCACAACGAAAGCCUUAACUUUUGAAUCAUCAUAUUUUUGAAGUUCUCCAUUCUAUAGCGCACCUUACUGUGGCUAAUAACCCUUGAACUUGGGAUCUGACUAUAUGUAUUAAACCAGAUAAAUACAAAAAUAUCAUUAAACGGGUAGCUGACAAGUUAGAUAUAUCCCCUCCUUGAAAUUAGCAAACAUGAAGGGAACUCUUUGGUUACGAUGUACUCCAAUUCCAAGAACACCGCAUUGCAGAAAGCAUUUACUUGUCAUGUUCUUCUAUUAUUUUAUUUUACACUUCAUUUGUUUCUAUUACAUAGCCUUACACUUUAUUAUUAGGGUGUUCUGUUGCUGCAAACAGGCACAUUGAAUUCUGAUCCAGUUCUGCCAGUGGAACUUUCAUCUUUUCACCUAUGAAACAAUCAAACUAAUGACUGUAACAUGUAACAGUUUUAAUUAUAUAUAUUGAUUCUGGGGUGCUUAUGCCCUUGUUUGUCCUGAAACAGUAAUGCAUUUAUAUCUUUUUUUUUUUUAAAUGAUUAAUGUGUUGUAAUCUUUACCUUACAACAAUGAAGCCUUUAGCAGUACAGGUAAUAUAACUUGGUAUAAAUCACGUAGUAUAUCUGAGCAUCCCAAGCUCGUUGCAUUCAUGCUGCAGAACACUUCACAGCUAUAAGCAUCAUCUUGUCCUUUGCUGCCCUUGAGAAAAGAGAGGAAAAAUACAAAUACAAGAAAACCAACACAUUUUUUAACAUUUGUCUAACCUGUUAUUGUGGUGUUAAUCAAUAAAAUCUUAACAAAAUUGUAAUAACAGGGAAAUAACAGGCAUCUUCAGAGCCUAACAUUUCCAUACCCAUAACAAAAUUAUUUUAUCAACUAUGGUAUUGAAAACAUUUUCUUGAGAUAAAGAUAAUGCUUAACAGAAAAUCUACAUUUUUGGUAGCAGUUUCUUUUCAAGGAGAGUGUAUACCAAGCUACCAGUAUUGUAUUGUGAUGAACCAAGUUGAGGUGUUGUCAAGCAAACAGGACCCUGAAGAUACACAAGUUUAUCUGGAUAACUGGUAUAAAAACAGGAUAACACACCAGAGAGGCCACUAAUGUAAAGACCAUGACAAGAGUAAUAAAAGGAAAUUCACAUGAAUUCAAUUGCAGUGGAAUAAUGAAUAGUAUUGCAACAGGAUACUCAUCAGGGAAUUACUAUUUAGUAUUAGAGAUGUAUCAAAAUAGAACUUUCUAUCCAAACUGCAAAUUAUGGAAAUUUACAUAAAAAGGAACCCAAAUCCAAACUACUCCUCGUUUAGAUUUGCAAAACCAAAAACCUUAGUUUGGGUUUUGAGAAACCAAAUUCACCCAGGGUUUGAUGAUCUGUUUCAGAUUAGCCUAAUCUGGAACUAUUUCUCUGGCUUCACAUUCUCUCAAAUAGAUUGUCCUAACAAGCCUGCAGGAAGAAUCUUUCACCCUACCAGUAGUGACUUUUUUUUAUUGUUGGGGCAUACUGUUUAUUUUGGUUUUUUUCCACUUUAAAUCAUUGCAAAUUUAAACUAGCGCAUCAGGCUAUAAUAAUGCAGCACCGAGUCCACUUGUUGCAGUAUUAAGACAGGCAAUUUAGCAGCUCCUAUUAACUGUUCUUUUAGCUUUUCCACUGUUCAUUUGUCUCAUUUCUCGUACACACUCAAGCUUGCUGCAGUAACCUCUAGAAGCCAGAUUCUGCCACAUUUAUUAACAUGAGUAAUGCCCUAUUCUGCAAGUAGGCCCAUUGAUUUCAAUAUGACUAUUCAACAUGAGUAUAGUUGGCAAAACCAAAUCCUAAAUAUAAACAGUAAAUGUGCCACUUGUGGAAGGAAUCUGGAAACACACACAACGAUUUCUAGGAUUUUUGCAAUUUCUCUUUCUUUUUUUUGUUUUUGUUUUUUUACAAACUCACAUUUUUAUGAAACUGAUUAUUGGUUAAAUGCCAGUUUCAAAUAAAAUAUUUUCCAAAUAUAAUAACUCUAGGAUUGCUGUAUGGAAUUUUCCUUUAUUAAAUUUUCAAUCCUCCAUUUAUGUCAAAGUCAAAACUUUCCUGGGUCUAAUACCAUCAUGUUGUCUGGGUUGUUUUUGUUUUUUGGUUCACCAGAGAUGCUGUACAGUAGAAGAAUGCCUGCCAGCUCAUAUGGGAAAUAUGGUAUAUUUAAAAUAUUUAGUUCUGUUAGAAACAAAACCAUAUUGUAUUUUUAUUUGGGAAGUGAUGUGAUCAUUUAAUGACAGGGUUUAACAUUAUGCAUACAUAUGCAGAGUUAACCUCAUGCACAACCUCAACUUGUUUUUCUUGACUUUUGAGUGUUUCAGCACACAACUAACUUUCUCUUUAGUCACCCAGGCCUGCUGAAAGAGAUCAGAGUCACUUAAAAAGGCAAUCUGUCUAAUACAAAGUUGUCAUCUUCUUUAAGUCUAACAAUAAUACAAAUCAAUCCCUCCUAGUAAUUUAUUUCUGAAAAUGUACAUUAUUCCCAGUGUACUGCUUUACUGUAGCACUUAGUACUAAAGGAACAGAUCAUUAUGAAUCCAUGAGAUUUCCCCUAUGUCUCUUCUCUAUUAAGAAAAAAAACAUUCAUUUGAAGUAAUGUAAAAACACAUUUUUUAAAGUACAAAAGAAACUGAUCAAUAAUUAUUCUAUUUCAAUAAAUGAUAAUUUUAUUC